AUUGAACGCUGGCGGCAUGCCUUACACAUGCAAGUCGAACGGUAACAGGUCUUCGGAUGCUGACGAGUGGCGAACGGGUGAGUAAUACAUCGGAACGUGCCCGAUCGUGGGGGAUAACGCAGCGAAAGCUGUGCUAAUACCGCAUACGAUCUACGGAUGAAAGCGGGGGAUCGCAAGACCUCGCGCGGACGGAGCGGCCGAUGGCAGAUUAGGUAGUUGGUGGGAUAAAAGCUUACCAAGCCGACGAUCUGUAGCUGGUCUGAGAGGACGACCAGCCACACUGGGACUGAGACACGGCCCAGACUCCUACGGGAGGCAGCAGUGAGGAAUUUUGGACAAUGGGGGAAACCCUGAUCCAGCCAUGCCGCGUGCAGGAUGAAGGCCUUCGGGUUGUAAACUGCUUUUGUACGGAACGAAAAGGUCCUUUCUAAUAAAGAGGGCUCAUGACGGUACCGUAAGAAUAAGCACCGGCUAACUACGUG
rnacentral:rRNA from 1 species